UACAGAGGUCUCAAGCGUUGUUCGGAUUCAUUGGGCGUAAAGGGUGCGUAGGCGGCGCGGUAAGUCGGGUGUGAAAUUUCGAGGCUUAACUUCGAAACUGCAUUCGAUACUGCCGUGCUUGAGGACUGGAGAGGAGACUGGAAUUUACGGUGUAGCGGUGAAAUGCGUUAGAUAUCGAGAGGAACACCUGCGGCGAAGGCGGGUAGCUGGGCCGACACUGACGCUGAAGCGCGAAAGCUAGGGGAGCGAACGGG
rnacentral:rRNA from 1 species